rnacentral:rRNA from 1 species
UACGUAGGGGGCAAGCGUUGUCCGGAUUUACUGGGCGUAAAGGGCGCGUAGGCGGCAUGGCAAGUCAGGAGUGAAAGGCCUGGGCUCAACCGAGGAACUGCUUUUGAUACUGCCAAGCUAGAGUGCGGAAGGGGCAACUGGAAUUCCCAGUGUAGCGGUGAAAUGCGUAGAUAUUGGGAAGAACACCUGAGGCGAAGGCGGGUUGCUGGGCCGACACUGACGCUGAGGCGCGAAAGCCAGGGGAGCAAACGGG